AUGUAUAAUCAAUUAUUUGGGCAUUACUCUUGUAUCCACAGGUUGAUGACAAAUGAGGUCAUGGCCUGUUUCAGUAUGAAGUGGGGGAAGGGGAAGCUUGCCUUCACCAAGAUCAAUCUGUACACUGUUGUCACAGAGAGUGUCCAGAAAACAUCAAAAGAGACGGGGCAAAUAUUGCAGCGGCCACCGCCUUUUGUUUAAAAUAUGCCCCAGCAGAGCCGUCGCAAGGAGGGUGAGAGGCCCUGUGCAAAGUUGACAUGCGAGGCCCUCUACAAUUUUGCGUGUGUGUGUGUGUGGUGGGGGAGGUUGCUGUAGUAAGGCAAGGCAAGUUUAUUUAUAUAACAGAUUUCGUACACAAUGGUAAUUCAAAGUGCUUUACAUAAAAUAAAGUAAAAUAAUCAUGAAGAACAAAACUAAAAACAAGCAAUUUUAAAACUUUGGAAAUGAUUUAAAAAUUGACUUGAAUUUAAAACAGUUAGAAAUAGAAAAUGAUUUUACAUAAAAUACAGUGAAUACGUAAAAUACAGUGCAAUCAGGUCGGACAUCGCACAGUGCUCAUUAAAUAAAUGCACAGCUAAACAGAUGAGUUUUGAGUCUAGAUUUAAAUGUGACUAGUGUUUUAGCACAUCUGAUCUCUUCUGGAAGCUGAUUCUGGAAGCAAUGUAUUUUGGUCCUAGGUCACUGAGUGACUUCUAGACGAGUAAAAGUACUUUAAAAUCAAUCCUAAAUGUAACUGGAAGCCAGUGUAAGGACCUGAGGACUGGUGUGAUAUGCUCAGAUGUUCUGGUUCUAGUCAGAAUCCUGGCAGCAGCAUUCUGGAUGAGCUGCAUCAUUUUUGAAAAAAGAUGUGGGAAGUGUGUCAAGAUAGCAAGUUGACGAUUUUAGUUGCUGCACUAUGUCUUCCAAAAUGUUGCUAUCAAUUGCUUCAAAAUAGACAGUAUCUUUUUGAUACUGCAGCCGAAUCUGUCUGACCUCUGCAUUGCUUGAGGAUGUGCUAAUCGCCUUCCUGAUAUUGAUGAUCUUCUCAGAAAAGAAGGAAGCAAACUCAUUGCAUUUGCAGUCUGACAGCAUUUCACUGGGAAUCUGACUCUGGGAAACUGAUUUCUGUCUGUUUGUUUUCUUACUGACUAUUAUUGGAGCAAUAUCAUUAAUACCAUUCUUAACUUUUGAGUUAAAGGAAUCAAGGAGAAUAUCAACAGAGUCCGCAAAAAUACUUAGUGUUAAAGAUAUAGCCUCCAUAAAUAGUACACUAGUGUUCUCGUUAGGUCUGCACUAUUAAUCGCAUGCAAUUGUCAUGCGCGUCUCGUCAGUAAAGCUGGUUCUGUGAUUAGCGCUUAAUGUCCAGAGCCGUAGUUCGCUGACGCAAUAUCACGUUCAUAACCGCAUGCGAUUCAUCUGCGAUUAUGAACGCGAUAUUGCGCCGCUUGUCAGCAAACUACGGCUCGGUCUAUUAAGUGCAGCUACAUUUGAAAGCAUCUCCUUCUGACAGAGACAGAUCUAGAUUCAGUGGUAGCAGAGAUCAAUAUAUCAAAGAAAAUACAGAAGUGAUCAGAUAGUGCUACGUCCUUAAUAACAAUGGAUGAAAUGUUUAGAGCCCUACUGAUGAUUAAAUCUAGAGUGUGUCCACCUUUGUGUGUGGGUCCAUGCACAUGCUGAAUCAGGUCAAAAGUGUUUACAACCGUUAUCAUUUCUUUUGUAGUUUUGUUUUCUGCAUUAUCUAUGUGAAUAUUAAAAUCCCCUGCAAUAGCAAAAACAGUCAAACUCUGAGGAAAUCAUUGAUAACAUUUCUGUGACCUCUUCAACAAAGGCUGGAGAGUAUUUUUGGAGGCCUGUAAAUAAUGAUAAACAGAAUGCAUGGAGCACCUUUCAGCACAAUUUCUAGAUAUUCAAAAGACAAGUACUGACCAAAUGACACUUGCUUGCAUUGAUAGACAUCUUUAAAUAGAGCAGCUACACCUCCACCCCUCCUAACAGUCCUGCAGACACUCAUGAAAGUAAAGUUAGGAGGGGCUGCUUCAUUGAGGACUGUUGCACUGCAGCUGUCUUCUAGCCAUGUUUCAUUUAGAAACAUAAAAUCCAGAUUGUUUGUGGUUAUAAAGUCAUUGAUUAGAAAAUGAUUAAUUUUUUAGUGACCGAAUGUUUAAAGAUGCUAACUUGAUGGCAGUGCUUUAUGUCAUUACAUCAAUUUUAGUUUGAUGCAUAAUAGGCUGCAGAUUAGAUGAGUUUGCCCUUCGGCUUGAGAUGGACUUAAACUUUCUGUCACAUGAUAAAACUGAAAUAGAGAAAGCUACAGGCACACUGGGUUCCCGCUUGUUCUUUAAACAUUUGUGAAUGUUGCUGCUAUUAUAGCGGGGACCCGACACAUAUCACUGAGAUCUGCUAUCAGUUGUUUUUGGUUCACCUACAGCAGAUGGAGGGUUUGGGCCCUGGCAUUGUGGCAGCGGUCGGAGAGCUCUCACAGGAGCAGGUCCCACAGGCUUUGGUGUUUGGGGGGCCCGCUGUUUUCUUGUUGAUAUCUGCGGGCUUGCAACGAAUGAGUGUGAGAGUUUAGUCCCAGCAUACACCAAUUCUACCAUUUUCUGUGAAAAGCACAGAAGUGGAGAUGCUGGAGAGAGGGAUAAUUUGUCCGGUGAGAGGGGCUGUGUCUCUGGUGUUUCCGGUGACUGUGAUAUGUUGUCCUGGCUUCCCCGGCUGUCUUCCAGAAAGUCAUCCUUGAGUGCUGAGUCUUGUAGCUGUUUUGAUACAUCACAGUCUGUCUGUGAGGAGCUCUGAGGGCAGGGCUCGGCCGGGAUGGUGUCCAUCAGCAGUGCUUAUUGUGGCUGGAUGGUGUUAUCAGUUGGGAGUGGUCCACUGAUGAACUUUGAGUCUUCAAAGUGUUUGAAAAAGGUUCACUAAAGUCCUUCUUAAGGAGUUCUGACUGAUCUUUCAGAGUAUCAUUCUUCCCCACAUGGAUGACAAUUGGAUUUGUAGUCUUGUGCUUCAUCAGAAUAUUCUGAAGUUCCUUGUUCACAUCAGAGACCAUUGCUUGAGGAAGGCAGCAUGUUGUUGUAGUCCUGCUACUGAUGUUUCUGAUAAUAGAGUCACCCACUAUCAGAGUCCUGGGCUCGACUGCGCUCUGAGCUGAAUGUCAUUGUCUGCUCGACCUUGAGCACCUGUUAGUAGCAGUGUUAGCUGCUGGCUGAUCCGAUAGAUGUUUAAUCACAUUUGGGGAUUUCUCACCCGCAUUCAUUAAUGCUUCAAAUCUGUUCUCAAGAUGUAUAGGGGGUGGUAGAAUACUGGUAUUCACAAGCCUUGUCAUAGUCGAAUCUGGGGUAGUGGAUGCUACAGCAGCAAUACGAGAAACUCGUGACAAUCUGAUGUCUCGUGUUCCUUUGGGUCUCGCUCCCUGUUUGUGCCAUCGAUUAGUGUGGCGAUCAGUUUUGGCUUGUUCCUCUACACUUGGUAUAAACUGUUGAGAUUCAGAAGAUUCAUGGGACUCACCGGCUGUAUGCUGAGAGGGUCCAUGACGAUGGUCUGUUAAAUGUUCCGUCUGUUUUGGAAGUCCGGCAAGUAACUUUGUUUCAAGAAUCACAAUCCUUUGUAGAAGUUUGCAGCAGUUCAUGCAACAAGUGGAUCCAACAGGAGGCAUUUUCUCUCUCUUCUCUUUGAAUGUAGGCAGUUGUUAUCCCAUCUCCGGAAUGUAAGCUGCUGGCAGUGGGAGGCAAAGUCUUCAUUUGUAGUACUAUUCCAGUCCCAAAGUUUUUAGUUUUAGUGUUUGUGCCAAAAAUCUUUUGUUUGAGCACUGUGCUGAUCUUCUGAAGUAAAAAAUCUUAGAAAAAUCUGAGAAAAGUACAGAAAUAAGAAGCAAAGCGGAGAACAGUAAGCUAGAACGUCCGAACGGUAGCGAAGCCGGAACCGUAACAAACUCAACUUUAACAUGCAUCUGUCCGAUUGUGAUGCCUUGCUUACUGACAUGCUUGCGCACAAAUCACGGCCACGCACUAGCUCAUAAGGAUCUACAAUCAUAAUAAUAAUAAUAAUAAGUUAAUAAGAAUGCUUAAAUUAGUUCUAGGCUUGUAGACAGUUAUAUAUAAAGAGUUCAGAUGGAAAAGCCUCUAAGUGCGAUCCAACAUUUUCUUCUAAAAUAAUUAUUUUCUCAUCCUCCUAUGUUUAUGUUCAGUUAUUUCACUUUAAUGGGAAAGAAAAGAAACUGUUCAUUGCUAUUAAAGUGAAAUUACUGAACCUACACAUGGGAGCCUGAUAAAAUUUGUAUUUUUUAGAAGAAAAUUUCAAACGGCACUAGGUUUUUUUGCAGCUGAACUUUUCACA
ensembl:lncRNA